rnacentral:rRNA from 1 species
GGUUGAUCCUGCCAGUAGUCAUAUGCUUGUCUCAAAGAUUAAGCCAUGCAUGUCUAAGUAUAAGCAAUCUAUACGGUGAAACUGCGAAUGGCUCAUUAAAUCAGUUAUAGUUUAUUUGAUGAUGACUUUCUACAUGGAUAACUGUAGAAAACUAGAGCUAAUACAUGCAACUAAAGCCCCGACUUCUGGGAGGGGUGUAUUUAUUAGAUAAAAAACCAACGCGGCUCGCCGCUCGUUUGGUGAUUCAUAAUAACUUUUCGAAUCGCAUGGCCUUGUGCUGGCGAUGCUUCAUUCAAAUAUCUGCCCUAUCAACUUUCGAUGGUAGGAUAGUGGCCUACCAUGGUUUCAACGGGUAACGGGGAAUAAGGGUUCGAUUCCGGAGAGGGAGCCUGAGAAACGGCUACCACAUCCAUGGAAGGCAGCAGGCGCGCAAAUUACCCAAUCCCGACACGGGGAGGUAGUGACAAUAAAUAACGAUAUAGGGCUCUUUAGGGUCUUAUAAUUGGAAUGAGUACAAUUCAAAUCUCUUAACGAGGAACAAUUGGAGGGCAAGUCUGGU